rnacentral:rRNA from 1 species
AUGUCGUCGUCCGGUGGCAAGCUCUUCACCCUGGAGGAGGUCGCCAAGCACAGCUCCAAGGACGACUGCUGGCUCGUCAUCGGCGGCAAGGUGUACAAUGUGACCAAGUUUCUUGAUGACCACCCUGGAGGCGACGACGUCUUGCUGUCUUCAACUGCCAAGGACGCGACCGACGACUUCGAGGACGUGGGACACAGCACAACCGCCCGGGCGAUGAUGGACGAGUACUACGUCGGCGAGAUCGACGCGACCACGAUACCCACCAAGGUCAAGUACACGCCGCCCAAGCAGCCGCACUACAACCAGGACAAGACCCCCGAGUUCGUCAUCAAGAUCCUCCAGUUCUUGGUCCCCCUCGCGAUACUGGGCCUGGCCGUCGCCGUACGGAUCUACACCAAGGCAGACUCUGUCUAG